CUCAUCACCCACCCACCUGUAUUUGUACCUUCAAGAUCACCCAUCGUCUCAUUCAACGCCUGAACAUACACGCCAAAGGUGUUGAAUUUCUCGGAUCGCGCAUUUCCAGACCUUCAACUCUUGCUCGGCGACAGGAAACCCGUGCAGCUGUAGCGAUGGGUGGAACCUGUCGAGUGGCGCUGCUGACGGCGCUGGGAUUUGCUCUGGCAAUCAUUCAAGGUUCACAUCAUGUGGCUGGUCAG